UUGGAGGGCAAGUCUGGUGCCAGCAGCCGCGGUAAUUCCAGCUCCAAUAGCGUAUAUUAAAGUUGUUGCAGUUAAAAAGCUCGUAGUUGAAUUUCGGGAUUGACACAUCGGUCGUGCCUUAAGGGGUAUGAACUGGUGUAGUCAAUUUCUCACCUUCUGGAGAACGGCGAUGCCCUUAAUUGGGUGUCGCGGGGAACCAGGACCUUUACUUUGAAAAAAUUAGAGUGUUUAAAGCAGGCAUUUUGCUUGAAUACAUUAGCAUGGAAUAAUAAGAUAGGACGGCAUGAUUCUAUUUUGUUGGUUUCUAGGAUCACCGUAAUGAUUAAUAGGGAUAGUUGGGGGCAUUAGUAUUCGAUUGUCAGAGGUGAAAUUCUUGGAUUUAUUGAAGACUAACUACUGCGAAAGCAUUUGCCAAGGAUGUUUUCAUUAAUCAAGAACGAAAGUUAGGGGAUCGAAGACGAUCAGAUACCGUCGUAGUCUUAACCAUAAACUAUGCCGACUAGGAAUCAGACGAUGUUAAUUUUUUAAUGACUCGGGCACCAGACUUGCCCUCCAA
rnacentral:rRNA from 1 species